rnacentral:rRNA from 1 species
AGUGAACGCUGGCGGUAGGCCUAACACAUGCAAGUCGAACGGCAGCACAGGAGAGCUUGCUCUCUGGGUGGCGAGUGGCGGACGGGUGAGGAAUACAUCGGAAUCUACCUUUUCGUGGGGGAUAACGUAGGGAAACUUACGCUAAUACCGCAUACGACCUACGGGUGGAAGUGGGGGACCGCAAGGCCUCACGCGAUUAG